rfam:Gossypium raimondii Chr05_contig_901, whole genome shotgun sequence.
UGUUAAAAAUUUCAUUCAUUUACAUUGUUAAAAAAUAGGUGUAGCUAAUGAAAUAAUUAAAAGUGAUACGUGAUGUGCCACGUAUACCUCAUGCUAAUUACAUGGGCCUGUUUUUAAUAGUAGAAAUAUAUGUAAUUUUUAAUA